CUUGAGGCGUGGCUUCCGGAGCUAACGCGUUAAGUCGACCGCCUGGGGAGUACGGCCGCAAGGUUAAAACUCAAAUGAAUUGACGGGGGCCCGCACAAGCGGUGGAGCAUGUGGUUUAAUUCGAUGCAACGCGAAGAACCUUACCUACUCUUGACAUCCACGGAAUUCGGCAGAGAUGCCUUAGUGCCUUCGGGAACCGUGAGACAGGUGCUGCAUGGCUGUCGUCAGCUCGUGUUGUGAAAUGUUGGGUUAAGUCCCGCAACGAGCGCAACCCUUAUCCUUUGUUGCCAGCGAUACGGUCGGGAACUCAAAGGAGACUGCCGGUGAUAAACCGGAGGAAGGUGGGGAUGACGUCAAGUCAUCAUGGCCCUUACGAGUAGGGCUACACACGUGCUACAAUGGCGCAUACAAAGAGAAGCGACCUCGCGAGAGCAAGCGGACCUCACAAAGUGCGUCGUAGUCCGGAUCGGAGUCUGCAACUCGACUCCGUGAAGUCGGAAUCGCUAGUAAUCGUGGAUCAGAAUGCCACGGUGAAUACGUUCCCGGGCCUUGUACACACCGCCCGUCACACCAUGGGAGUGGGUUGCAAAAGAAGUAGGUAGCUUAACCUUCGGGAGGGCGCUUACCACUUUGUGAUUCAUGACUGGGGUGAAGUC
rnacentral:rRNA from 5 species